rnacentral:rRNA from 1 species
UUCCUACGGGGCGCAGCAGUAGGGAAUAUUGCUCAAUGGGGGAAACCCUGAUGCAGCGACGCCGCGUGAGCGAAGAAGUAUUUCGGUAUGUAAAGCUCUAUCAGCAGGGAAGAAAAUGACGGUACCUGACUAAGAAGCUCCGGCUAAAUACGUGCCAGCAGCCGCGGUAAUACGUAUGGAGCAAGCGUUAUCCGGAUUUACUGGGUGUAAAGGGAGCGCAGGCGGCAUGGCAAGUCUGGUGUGAAAGGCCGGGGCUCAACCCCGGGACUGCAUUGGAAACUGCCAGGCUGG